rnacentral:rRNA from 1 species
AGUGGGGAAUAUUGGACAAUGGGCGAAAGCCUGAUCCAGCAAUGCCGCGUGAGUGAUGAAGGCCUUAGGGUUGUAAAGCUCUUUUACCCGGGAUGAUAAUGACAGUACCGGGAGAAUAAGCUCCGGCUAACUCCGUGCCAGCAGCCGCGGUAAUACGGAGGGAGCUAGCGUUGUUCGGAAUUACUGGGCGUAAAGCGCGCGUAGGCGGCUUUGUAAGUUAGAGGUGAAAGCCCGGGGCUCAACUCCGGAACUGCCUUUAAGACUGCAUCGCUUGAAUCCAGGAGAGGUGAGUGGAAUUCCGAGUGUAGAGGUGAAAUUCAUAGAUAUUCGGAAGAACACCAGUGGCGAAGGCGGCUCACUGGACUGGUAUUGACGCUGAGGUGCGAAAGCGUGGGGAGCAAA